rnacentral:rRNA from 1 species
UAGGGAAUUUUCCGCAAUGGACGCAAGUCUGACGGAGCAACGCCGCGUGAGUGAAGAAGGUUUUCGGAUCGUAAAACUCUGUUGUAAGAGAAGAACAAAUUGUAGAGUAACUGCUACAGUCUUGACGGUAUCUUACCAGAAAGCCACGGCUAACUACGUGCCAGCAGCCGCGGUAAUACGUAGGUGGCAAGCGUUGUCCGGAUUUAUUGGGCGUAAAGGGGGCGCAGGCGGAAAUGCAAGUCAGGUGUAAAAGGCAGUAGCUUAACUACUGUAAGCAUUUGAAACUGCAUAUCUUGAGAAGAGUAGAGGUAAGUGGAAUUUUUAGUGUAGCGGUGAAAUGCGUAGAUAUUAAAAAGAAUACCGGUGGCGAAGGCGACUUACUGGGCUCAUUCUGACGCUGGGGAACGAAAGCGUGGGUAGCAAACAGG